rnacentral:rRNA from 1 species
CCGGAAAUCUUACCGGGACCGACAGCUAAUAUGAAGGCCAGGCUGAAGACUUUGUCCGGAUUAGCUGAGAGGUGGUGCAUGGCCGUCGUCAGUUCGUACUGUGAAGCAUCCCUGUUAAGUCAGGCAACGAGCGAGACCCACGCCCACAGUUGCCAGCGUACUCUCUGGAGUGACGGGUACACUGUGGGACCGCCGCUGCUAAAGCGGAGGAAGGAAUGGGCAACGGUAGGUCAGUAUGCCCCGAAUAUCCCGGGCUACACGCGAGCUACAAUGGUUGGUACAAUGGGUAUCUACCCCGAAAGGGGACGGGAAUCUCCUAAAACCAAUCUUAGUUCGGAUUGAGGGCUGCAACUCGCCCUCAUGAAGCUGGAAUCCGUAGUAAUCGCGUUUCAACAGAACGCGGUGAAUACGUCCCUGCUCCUU